rnacentral:rRNA from 1 species
UACAUGUGGGGCAAGCGUUGUUCGGAAUUACUGGGCUUAAAGGGUGCGUAGGCGGCUUGUUAAGUCAGGGGUGAAAGUUUUCGGCUCAACCGGAAAAUGGCCUUUGAUACUGGCGAGCUCGAGUGCGUGAGGGGUGACUGGAACGAGCAGUGUAGCGGUGAAAUGCGUAGAUAUUGCUCGGAAGGCCAACGGCGAAGGCAGGUCACUGGUACGCAACUGACGCUGAGGCACGAAAGCGUGGGGAGCAAACAGG